UACGUAGGGGCCUAGCGUUGUCCGGAUUUAUUGGGCGUAAAGAGCUCGUAGGCGGUUUGGUGAGUCGGGUGUGAAAUCUCCACGCUCAACGUGGAGGGGCCACCCGAUACUGCCAUGACUAGAGUCCGGUAGGGGAGUGUGGAAUUCCCGGUGUAGCGGUGAAAUGCGCAGAUAUCGGGAGGAACACCAGUAGCGAAGGCGAACACUCUGGGGCCGGUACUGACGGCUGAGGAGCGAAAGCGUGGGGAGCAAACAGG
rnacentral:rRNA from 1 species